rnacentral:rRNA from 1 species
AACUUGACCUCAAAUCAGGUAGGACUACCCGCUGAACUUAAGCAUAUCA